rnacentral:rRNA from 1 species
UACGGAGGGUGCAAGCAUUAAUCGGAAUUAUUGGGCGUAAAGGGCGCGUAGGCGGUAAAGUAAGUCAGAUGUGAAAUCCCGGAGCUCAACUUCGGAACGGCAUUUGAAACUACUUUUCUAGAGGGUAGGCGGAGAAAACGGAAUUCCACAAGUAGCGGUGAAAUGCGUAGAUAUGUGGAAGAACACCUGUGGCGAAAGCGGUUUUCUAGCUUAUACCUGACGCUGAUGCGCGAAAGCAAGGGGAGCAAACAGG